rnacentral:tRNA from 1 species
GCCUGGCUGGCUCAGCUGGUGGAGCAUGUGGCUCUUGAUCUCCAGGCUGUGAGUUCAAGCCUCACAUUGGGUG